CACUUUACCAUAUUAUAUAAGCCAAUAAAUUGGGACGAACACAACAAUAGGCGGUUGUACACUAUUGCUGAUUUUUGUUUAGCCUCUUUUGUAUAACACUGCACUUUUUAUGAGUUUUCUUUUCCAUUCCAGCGACGCCUGUCUUUAUAUUUCUUGGGAUCUGGCUUCACUUCAACUUCCGAUUCUCCCUCUCUCUUAAUCAUCUCUCUACAUAAAGUUUUGUUUGCUCCAAAUUGAUCUGCGUUUGUGGAUUGCACCACCAAGAUUCAGGCUCACUAUGCAACGAAAUUUUUGGAAACAAAUGAAUAAAGACUCUUCUUCAUUUGGUUGACCAAUGACCAUAUUAGCUAUUAUCAUCUUCCACACAUCAAAGAUGCAAGGUUUACCUAUUGAAGAUGUUCCGCACGAAAUAUGUGAAGCAGAUAUAUAAUGGAUCUUCUCAAGAAUCUAAAAUUCAUGUGAUUGUGGAUAUAUAGAAGUUUUAGGGUUUAUUUUCCUAUAUAACUUUCGGCUCUUUGUUCAUGUCCAAAUAUAUAGAUGAGAGAACACAUGGUUAGGGAUUAUUAGGUGGAGCUUUGUUGAUUCAAGCUUAACUAAAAGAAAGAUGAAAGAAGAGGAAAUUUUACAGGAGCAACCAUGGUAUCGCAAAAUUAGUAGGCGACACUUUUCACUCUUUAAGCCGGUUAAUUACUGUCAAAACCUUUUGAAUGCCAGAAAACUGCCAAACAAACACGUUUGCUGAGGUUGGUGUUAUAUACAUGUCUAUUUUUGUUUGGAAGUCAUCCUCAUGGCAAGUAGCUCUUUAACUUUGGCAAUUGCUUAUUAGAAAUUCCUUUGUACUAAGAUUAAAGAUAUGGUAUUGGCAAAAUUUGUUUGAAGAGAUCAUCCUCGCGGAAAGACGAAUUAGGGACGCACCAACAACGGGACAGAAGGUUCAGGAGCGUGGAUGAGCUUGUAUGGAUCUGAAUAUCGCCCGAAUAACAGUUGAUACUACUAACGAAUAACGAUAUUACCUAUGGCCCUCGACCAUUGAAUUUUAUUUUAAUAAACAAGUUAAUAAAUAACUCUUACCAAUUUUUUUGUACGAUAAUUGCAAAAUCUAUCAACGACCAUUUAUUCCACAUCUGUUUGUGGAGAUUUUAGCACAUGAUACGUAUUCUUCCCACUA